rnacentral:rRNA from 1 species
CUGCAGCUCAAGUGGUGGCCGCUAUUAUUGGGCCUAAAACGUUCGUAGCCGGUUUGGUAAAUGUCUGGGUAAAUCGUGUAGCUUAACUAUACGAAUUCCGGGUAGACUGCCAAACUUGAGACCGGGAGAAGCUAGAGGUACCCCUGGGGUAGAGGUGAAAUUCUGUAAUCCUGGGGGGACCACCAGUGGCGAAGGCGUCUAGCUAGAACGGGUCUGACGGUGAGGAACGAAGCCCUGGGGCGCAAACCGGAUUAGAUACCCGAGUAGUCC